rnacentral:rRNA from 1 species
AUGGACCUUGGCCGCUUGAACUACGAGAUCAUUACGCUCAUCCCCAAAGUUCCUGGCGCUACGGACAUCCGCCAGUUCUGCCCAAUCACGGUUAUAAACAUGAUUUUUAGAUUUGCGAAGGGGUACGCUAAUAGGGUGACCCACCUCGCGGACACUAUAAUCCACCCCAACCAAUCGGCCUUCAUUCAAGGCCGGCUCAUUCUCGAUGGGGUGUUGAUCUUCCACGAGAUGUUGCACGAAGUCCGCUCCAAGCACCAGCGGGAGGUCUUCCUGAAGUUAGACUUCCACAAAGCCUACGACACUGUCCUCUGGCCCUUCCUCCGGGAAGUUCUGCUAUGCAAGGGCUUCGACAACCGCUAG